rnacentral:lncRNA from 10 species
GAUGACACACUAAGGCGCAAGGCAGCUGCACAUCCACGGCCAGCCUCGUUGUCUUCAGGGAUUUGUUCAAAGUUCAUUCUGAAUUGUAAGGUAACCACUGCAGAACACGAGCCUUUCCUGGGUAUGUGUGGUUAUUUCUGCCCUUCACGGUCCCACUCAAGUCCUGCCUCCCUCAGGGAGACCUCCCAGACCUCACCAAGCCGUGGGCACGUGGACCAGAAGCCGUGGACCCCAGAGGCUCAUUUAGGGAUCUGCUUUCUGAACCCAGGUCCUAACAUCUGCACUGCAGCGAGCAUUUCUGGUGCCUCAAGUGAGUCACUCCAACUUCCAGCUCACUGAGAGGCGAUGGAGCACUGAGUGCCAGCAUCUUCCAGCACCAGAGGAGCUGACUCUGAAUAGACAGCUCGGCAGCGGCCUCAGCACAGAGCAGGGGAGCCACCAGCCACAGGCAGCCACUGAGCCCUUGGCAUGUAACCCGGUAACCCAUGCAACAGAAGACCUGAGCGUCCAGUGUUGCUAGCUUGAAGUAACUUCAGUGGUGUUCCCCAGCGUUUUUCUCAUCCCCCUCCCUUCCCUUCCCCUACAGCUUUCUUCCUCUUUCCCCUCCUUCUGAGUCUUUCGUCCCCAGUCCUGGGAACCUUUUUUCUGACUUGGUGUUUUCUCCUGAAUGCCUCCUUCCUGGCCCCCUAAUCAGAAAUGCAGAAGCCACCUGCCCCACACAGGGGGCCACUUUCCCUGCAUCUGGCACUCACCAGGACAGUCAUAGAACUGGCCUUGGGUGCUUGGGGAGAGUGGAGAGGUCUGGGGGGCAUCCACUGGCCUCAGCCUCAGAGCUUCUCAUCAGUAACCCAGGAGGCAAAGGCCCAGCUCAAGAUUAGCCCAGGCCACUGUAUCUGUGCCAAGACCUACAGCUGUCCCUGCAGGGCGUGCAUCUCUGCAGCCCAGGCUAUCACAAUGGUGUCCCUUUUGGUGGGGAUGUGAGGCCUGCUGCUGCCUGGGAAGAAGCUGACAGGAUUGUUGGUGCUGUGGGGAGAAGCUGGUGUAACUGAGACCCAUGAGGGAGGCCCUUUGUGGGUCUGUGGCUGGGAGGAGCUCUGGGGAAGAUGGGCCUUGAGAAAUCCCAGCUUAGCACCUUUGACAGUUGCUCCACUGAGUCACCCUAGACUGCAAUCUCACAGAUGUUCUAACCACCCUCUCCCUGGGGAGCCCUUGGGGGUGCUGCAAGCCCAGUCCUCACUCACUGGCUUUGUGCUUCUCUUCCCGACUUCCUUUUUUUGCUCCUGUUGAGAAAUGUGGGUCCAGGGCUGCGUGCUCCAGUGUGCGGAAGGAAGGGCAGCGUGCUCUUUGGACUGAGCUGGCUCAAGGGAAGCUGGGUCUGAGGGGAGACUGACCUCGACCCUUCUUAAAUGAAACACCUUUUCCCUGCGUCUCAGUCACCGUUACCUGGCCUGAUCACUGUGUGCCACACCCCAUCACAUCCAUCCCCACAAGAAUGCCAGGAGGAGGGGUCAUUGGCCUUUUUGUCAGCACAAACCUCUGGAGGCCCAGCUCCCAAGACCCGCCAGGCACACCUGCCAGAGUGCCUUAACUUGGGAUGUCUGCAAACCUCUGUCCAUGGCCGAACCCACCCCACUGCCUGUUACUGUAAAUAAAGGUCUAUUAGCAUGCCACCAUGCCCCUCCUCCGAUGCAUACAGUGCCCAGCUCAGCACCUGGUGCAAGUAAGCACAAUCUGGCUUCCAGCCAUCACUGCUGUUGCUACUAACACAAAUAUUAGGCCCCUUCUAGAAUGCAAAGAUAACCCAGGGCUGCUCGUUCUGUGUCCAGAUCACAGAGUUUUUCUUUUUAUCCUUAUCAACUUUAUUGAGGGAUAAUUUACAGGCAAUAAAUCAUAUCCAUUUAAAGUUAUUGUCAAGCUUUUAAAGAAUUAAAGUUCGUCUUCUUCAGAAGCUUACCGAGGACUACAGGCUGUGGCGUAGAGCCCUGGAGCAGCCUCCACUGAGGUUCUGUAUUUCAGGUCACAGUUGACAUAUAGGUGGGAGGUCCAGUACGUGCAAAGUCACAUGAAAGCUUGGGUGUCAGAGUGCAUCAGGUUAUGGAUUCAAUUACAGAGCAAUAAUCACUGACCCUGUCAGAUGUUAUCUUACGUGUAGGAAAAGGUAAGACCAGGGCCAUUUAUCUGCAAAGAAUAUAGUGACUCAGGCAAGAGUCCGGAGAGGGUGUGUGCUCCAUCCUGUUUUGUCUUCAGAGCAUCUUUCUGGGGAGCUGCACAUCGUUAUAGAGACAGGCACUUUGUGAAAUUCUGCUGCCAAGCACAAAUGAGCAAACGUGGUUUCCUAUGUUUACUACUUUGUCUCACAAAGCGCACAUUCACAGUGCAUUAUUAAGGGGCCCUGGCAGCACCGCCACAGUGUAUCUCUGCUCCCUCUUAAAGUUCCCCGUGCCCCUUGGCAGACAGGCCCCUCUCACUCCUGGGCCCAGGCUACCAUUGACCAGCUUUUUGCCACUAGAGGUUAAUUUUCAUUCUAUGUGAUUGGAAUCAUACAGAUGUUCUUGUAUCUGACUUAUUUCACUCCACAUAGUGAUUCUGAGAUUCAAAUGUUGUGUGUAUCAGUUGUUUGUUCCUUUUUAUUCCUGAAUGGGAGAGGGGAUGUCAAGCUGCACAGUUUUAUUCCUGGGCUACAGUGGAGAUGGAUGGUUCUACCGUCUCUCUGAAACACCAUCUGCAGUUUCUUCAAAAUCUACCUACACAUCUUCCAUCCCAUCCUGAGGAGUCCCCGAGGGUUGAGAAAUGCAUGACCCCACACCUGGCUGACGUGUACAACUGGCGGAGUUAGUUUUUCCUGUUGACACUGGCCACGGGCGCCUCAGCAUGCACAGCCCUGGCCUUGCUCCUCUAGGCAUGCUGGGGGCUUGUCCACACGUGUGGUCUACGGAUGGAGGAGAGUGGCCUCUGGCCCAUGCGUGCCAUGCACUGGACCUUCCCAGGGAAUCAAGUUACAUGAUGUUUCCUUGAGGAGCUACAUACAAAGUAAAAAACUGAAAUCAAGAAUAUCAGUCAUUUCUGAAUAUGCCAAUUCGCCCAUGGUGCAGUUUGUACAGCUUAAUCACUGCAGAACAGUUUUGAGGAUAAAAUUAACCAAAAACCUAAGUAGACAAAAUAUUCAAAUUUUUGGAAUCUGUCACAAAAAUCCACAGAUGACUUAUUUUCCAUUGUAGCUUAUAAUGUCCAAAAGCCUUUCUAGUGACUUAUAACUGAUGGUGAGCUCCCACUCUGUGGCAGCUGUGGGACACUGGUCUAAGGACUACACCCUGAUGCCUGGUGAGUUACAGAGGCCAUGAGAAGAUGUCAGUGAACCUGAAAGCCAGGGAGAGGCUGUGUUCCUGCCGGACUGUGGGGCUCCUUCGCUCCCCUGCUGUGGCCCUUGGUCAGGCCACUUUCCCUCUCUGGGUGUCAGUGGCUUCAUCUACGAAGUGAUAAAAAACUAAUGCAAACCAGAGCAAAAUGAGAUAACACGGGGACCCCUAAUGUCCCAGGGAGAUGGUGAACUGAAGCACCGCGUGCGGUGAGUUGUUGCUGUCUCCACCCCUCAAGGAGACCGCAGCUUUGCAGACGUGUGGGUCCCAUCAUCGGCCCCAUUCUACAUUCCUCCCUGUGUCCCUGCCAUCGCCAGGUGACUUUGCUGGGCCCUCCCACCGCCCUAACUCCCAAUCCCAAGAUCUUCAGUGAACGUGACGCGCACAGCAGAGGCCCAGAAUGUAUGUGUGCAUGUGGUGACAGCUAAGCCUGCCUGGAGCAGAGCCCCAACCCUGCAGCAGCUCAAACAAGCUGAGAUCAGCAAAUGCACAUCUGACUCUCAGACAUGGGGGCAAUAAUAAUAAAUGCUGUUUGAGUUUUGGGGUCUUUGGCUACACAGCAAUUGCUCACCAAUAUGACAGGGUUGUAUGACGUGGCCAUGCGGAACUGUAUUAUAGGGGAAGUGGUGAACAGUGUGAUGAGAUUUUAAAGAGGAACAGAUUUACCACUGACUUUAGAAAUCAUGGAGGAGAAAUCUCUGGGGUUGCCCUUGAAGGGUGUGUGGAGGAGGACAUGGGAGAAGGGGGAAGAACCGUGGCAUCCUGGCUAAACAGACACAGGGCAGAGGGAGCCUCUGUGUUGGGACUAAGAUGGGGAUGUCGGGGAAGGGACAUGGCAAGCUGACUGUUGGUG